UAGUUUGAUCAUGGCUCAGGAAAGUCGUAACAAGGUAGCCGUAAGUCGUGACAGGGUAACCGUAGAGUUUGAUCCUGGCUCAGAAGUCGUAACAAGGUAGCCGUAAGUCGUAACAAGGUAACCGUAGAGUUUGAUCCUGGCUCAGGAAAGUCGUAACAAGGUAACCGUAAGUCGUAACAAGGUAACCGUAGAGUUUGAUCAUGCCUCAGCCUUUGACUUAAAAAAAUGGAAGUCGUAACAAGGUGCCGUAA
rnacentral:rRNA from 1 species